GGACACGACUUAGCGACUAAACCACCGCCAGCUUUGGUUGCCAUGACCUCCUCCAGGGGAUCUUCCUAACCCAGGAAUCAAACCGAGGCCUUCUGCAUUGCAGGUGGAUUCUUUACCAUCUGAGCCACCACACUUGUAUAUGAUAAAUACUGCCUGUUGUUUCACCAGAUUACACUUCUACUAGCAAUGUAAAAAUGUACUGAUGUUUCUCCACAUCUUGACCAUCACAUUGUUUUUAGUUUUUUAUAUCUUUGCUAAUUUGAAAGGUAAAAAAUAAUAUACUGAAAUAAUUUUUACUUGCAAUUUUGUUACCAUGUGUGAGAGAAGACUAAGACAUUUUAUAUCCUUUUCUGUGGACUUCUUAUUUUAUAUAUCUUUCUAUAUCCCUUGCUUAUGGCAUUUCCAUUUAAUGUCCUGUGGUACCCUUCAAAUU